GACGAACGCUGGCGGCGUGCCUAAUACAUGCAAGUGGGACGCAAGAGGACACACUGUGCUUGCACACCGUGUUUUCUUGAGUCGCGAACGGGUGAGUAACGCGUAGGUAACCUGCCUAUUAGCGGGGGAUAACUAUUGGAAACGAUAGCUAAUACCGCAUAAUAUUAAUUAUUGCAUGAUAAUUGAUUGAAAGAUGCAAGCGCAUCACUAGUAGAUGGACCUGCGUUGUAUUAGCUAGUUGGUAAGGUAAGAGCUUACCAAGGCGACGAUACAUAGCCGACCUGAGAGGGUGAUCGGCCACACUGGGACUGAGACACGGCCCAGACUCCUACGGGAGGCAGCAGUAGGGAAUCUUCGGCAAUGGACGAAAGUCUGACCGAGCAACGCCGCGUGAGUGAAGAAGGUUUUCGGAUCGUAAGGCUCUGUUGUAAGUCAAGAACGUGUGGAGAGGGAAAGUUC
rnacentral:rRNA from 1 species